rnacentral:rRNA from 1 species
AACGAACGCUGGCGGCAUGCCUAACACAUGCAAGUCGAACGAGACCUUCGGGUCUCGUGCCUCACGGGUUCGUAAUGCGUGGGAACCUGCCCAUAGGUACGGAAUAACUCCCCGAAAGGGGUGCUAAUACCGGAAAAUGUCUUUGAUCCAACGAUUUAUCGCCUCUGGAUGGGCCCGCUUUAGGUUAGCUAGCUGGUACAGUAAAAGCAUAACAAGGCGACGAUCCAUAGCUGGUUUGAGAGGAUGAUCAGCCACACUGGGACUGAGACACGGCCCAGACUCUUCCGGAUGGCAGCAAGGGGGAAUGUUGGACGCUGGGCGAGAGCCUGAUGCAGCCAUGCCGCGUGAGUGAUGAAGGCCUUAGGAUUGUAAAGCUCUUUUACCCGGGAUGAUAAUGACAGUACCGGAAGAAUAAGCUCCGGCUAACUCCGUG